rnacentral:rRNA from 1 species
CACGUAGGUGGGUCGUUAAGUCAGGGGUGAAAUCCCGGAGCUCAACUCCGGAACUGCCUUUGAUACUGGCGACCUUCGAGUCCGGGAGAGGUGAGUGGAAUUGCGAGUGUAGAGGUGAAAUUCGUAGAUAUUCGCAAGAACACCAGUGGCGAAGGCGGCUCACUGGCCCGAUACUGACACUGAGGUGCGAAAGCGUGGGGAGCAAACA